rnacentral:rRNA from 1 species
UUAUGGCUCAGGAUGAACGCUGGCGGCGUGCCUAAUACAUGCAAGUCGAACGAGGUAGCAAUACCGAGUGGCGAACGGGUGAGUAACACGUAGGUAACCUGCCCUUAAGCUUGGGAUACCCAGAGGAAACUUUGGCUAAUACCGGAUAACAACAGAGAAGGCAUCUUCUUUGCUUGAAAGGCCCCUUCAAGGGUCACUUAAGGAUGGACCUGCGGCGCAUUAGCUAGUUGGUGAGAUAACAGCCCACCAAGGCGAGGAUGCGUAGCCGAACUGAGAGGUUGAUCGGCCACAUUGGAACUGAGACACGGUCCAAACUCCUACGGGAGGCAGCAGUAAGGAGUUUUCGGCAAUGGGGGGAAACCCUGACCGAGCAACGCCGCGUGAGCGAUGACGGUCCUUUGGAAUUGUAAAGCUCUGUUGUAAGCCAUGAAUGACAGCUUGAGGAAAUGCAAGUUGUUUGACGACAGCUUACCAGAAAGCCACGGCUAACUACGUGCCAGCCGCUGC